AUCAUCUUUCAGAUCUGUUUACCCGAGGUAUUGAUAUCCAAGCUGUGAAUGUGGUGAUAAACUUUGAUUUCCCAAAGCUGGCAGAGACUUAUCUCCAUCGUAUUGGCAGAUCAGGUCGCUUUGGUCAUCUUGGCCUGGCCAUCAACUUGAUCACCUAUGACGAUCGAUUCAACCUGAAAAGUAUCGAGGAGCAGUUGGGAACUGAAAUUAAACCCAUACCCAGCAACAUCGACAAGAGCCUGUAUGUGGCAGAAUACCACAGUGAACCUGUAGAAGAUGAGAAACAGUAAACAUGCUUUGAUUACACAUGCCAGAAGGUGAAGCCCUUUGAUCCAGAUCUGUGACACAUCGUUUCUUUGGGGAUACCCUUCUCUUUGUGGGUUUUUCUUCGUCUUUUCAUUUCGGAACUAUGAAGACUAAAGAGCUCGGCCUUUUUUUCUUUUUAAAUUUGGCAGCAAGAAAGAAAGAAGAUAAAAGGAGGAAUGUCUUUUUGUUUUUCCACUUGUUUGCACUGUGUGCUGAUUGAACAUUAGUUGCACUAACUGCUGGUUUUAAAUUUUUUUUUUUCUUUGGGUGGGAGGGGGCAGCAAGGGAAGAAGAGAAACCCUGAAAAGAGAAGAAUCUUGAUGAACACGAGCUUGUCUGCGAUUUCAAAUUCUUCAACCGUCGACUGAGUGCAUUUCAACUUCUCCCUGGUUACUCAUCUGUUUUUAAGCUAAAGAGCUUGUUACUUAUUCGUGCAAAGUGCCUUAUGCUAUGAGACCAUUCAGAACAUCACCUUUCCGACAGCCCAAGGAAUCAACAGCUGU